rnacentral:rRNA from 1 species
CUACGGGGGGCUGCAGUGGGGAAUAUUGGACAAUGGGGGAAACCCUGAUCCAGCAAUGCCGCGUGUGUGAAGAAGGCCUGCGGGUUGUAAAGCACUUUCGGUUGGGAGGACUGCUUCUAGCACUAAUAUUGUUGGAAGUUGACGUUACCUUCAGAAGAAGCACCGGCUAACUCCGUGCCAGCAGCCGCGGUAAUACGGAGGGUGCAAGCGUUAAUCGGAAUUACUGGGCGUAAAGCGCGCGUAGGCGGCUAGAUCAGUCGGGUGUGAAAGCCCCGGGCUUAACCUGGGAACUGCAUCCGGUACUGGCUAGCUUGAGUACAGGAGAGGAGAGUGGAAUUCCACAUGUAGCGGUGAAAUGCGUAGAUAUGUGGAGGAACACCAAUGGCGAAGGCAGCUCUCUGGCCUGAUACUGACGCUGAGGUGCGGAAGCGUGGGGAGCAAACAGGAUUAGAUACCCGGGUAGUC